rnacentral:rRNA from 2 species
UACAGAGGUCCCGAGCGUUGUUCGGAUUCAUUGGGCGUAAAGGGUGCGUAGGCGGCGGGGCAAGUCUGAUGUGAAAUCCUGGGGCUCAACCUCAGAACUGCAUUGGAUACUGCCCUGCUAGAGUACUGGAGAGGGAACUGGAAUUUACGGUGUAGCAGUGAAAUGCGUAGAGAUCGUAAGGAAGGCCAGUGGCGAAGGCGAGUUCCUGGACAGUUACUGACGCUGAGGCACGAAGGCCAGGGGAGCAAACGGG